GAGUUUGAUCGUGGCUCAGAGCGAACGCUGGCGGCAGGCUUAACACAUGCAAGUCGAGCGGGCGUAGCAAUACGUCAGCGGCAGACGGGUGAGUAACGCGUGGGAACGUACCUUUUGGUUCGGAACAACACAGGGAAACUUGUGCUAAUACCGGAUAAGCCCUUACGGGGAAAGAUUUAUCGCCGAAAGAUCGGCCCGCGUCUGAUUAGCUAGUUGGUGAGGUAAUGGCUCACCAAGGCGACGAUCAGUAGCUGGUCUGAGAGGAUGAUCAGCCACAUUGGGACUGAGACACGGCCCAAACUCCUACGGGAGGCAGCAGUGGGGAAUAUUGGACAAUGGGCGCAAGCCUGAUCCAGCCAUGCCGCGUGAGUGAUGAAGGCCCUAGGGUUGUAAAGCUCUUUUGUGCGGGAAGAUAAUGACGGUACCGCAAGAAUAAGCCCCGGCUAACUUCGUGCCAGCCGCCGCCGUAAU
rnacentral:rRNA from 1 species